UCCUACGGGAGGCAGCAGUAGGGAAUAUUGCUCAAUGGGGGAAACCCUGAAGCAGCAACGCCGCGUGGAGGAUGAAGGUUUUCGGAUUGUAAACUCCUUUUGUUAGAGAAGAUAAUGACGGUAUCUAACGAAUAAGCACCGGCUAACUCCGUGCCAGCAGCCGCGGUAAUACGGAGGGUGCAAGCGUUACUCGGAAUCACUGGGCGUAAAGAGCGCGUAGGCGGGAUAGCAAGUCAGCUGUGAAAACUACGGGCUUAACUUGUAGACUGCAGUUGAAACUGGUUUUCUUGAGUGCUGGAGAGGCA
rnacentral:rRNA from 1 species